GAGAGGAAAAUGAUAGAAAACGUUCUGUCUUUGAAGCACUCCAGCCAUUUGUUCCCACUGAGCUUGGCUCUGGCUUGUGGAUAGAUUCCACGGGUGGAAUGCUGGCAUGUUCUUGGAGCAUGAGGCAGACUUGGGAACUGAGUCAACACACGGCAUAUCACUGAGACAGAGCAGUCCCAGAACACACACCGGGGAGUACAGGAGCCUAGGCCACGUACCCAACAUCAUAGGCAGAGAAAAAAGAAACUGUAUUCCACGUGGUGCAUUCCAGGCCUUAGAAUAAAAUUAAAAGGGAAACCUAUGAAGACAAAUCCGCUCUUCACACUCUCAUCUUCAAUGUUUGAUCAGUGGUUGAACUGUUUGGAGUUGCAGAUCGAUAUUUCUGUUUUAUAGUUUUAGGUGCUUGUAAUUGCUCUUUAAUUCUCAUGUUUCCUCUUAUUCUGUGUGUCUUUAACUCAUAAAGACAGUUUUCCAUGAGA
rnacentral:lncRNA from 1 species